rnacentral:lncRNA from 1 species
UUCGAAGAUCUAUAAAGAAGAGAUAUAUCACCAUUGAUUGCGAUAGAGGAGGAACUUAUUGUCCGUGCAAGUUUCCUAUGGGGCAAAAGAAGAGGAAGUCGACUUCUAGACUCAUAAAUUGUCCAUUCGAGAUAUAGGAUAAAAGAAUAAUUGAUAAAACCUGAAAAAUUAAGAUAAAAAAUUUAUCUCACAAUCAUCAACCAUCUAGAGACGUAGCUGGACAUCCAUCUUGCAGAUGUUGUUCCUGUUGCAGCCAAUCUCCUCGCCGUC